rnacentral:lncRNA from 1 species
AUGGACUUGUACACCAAGUUUUAUCAUUUGCUGAAUGAUUAAAAUUGUAGCAAAUGCGUAGUUUUAUAUGCGCUAUACUGCUGCCUCUGUGCGGGGUCAGGAACUUCUGUCAGGCACUAAUUGCCUUUUG